rnacentral:rRNA from 1 species
AAGUCGUAACAAGGUUUCCGUAGGUGAACCUGCGGAAGGAUCAUUACAGAGUUCAUGCCCUCACGGGUAGAUCUCCCACCCUUGAAUACUAUACCUUUGUUGCUUUGGCGGGCCGCCUCGGCUACCGGCUUCGGCUGGUGAGUGCCCGCCAGAGGACCCCAAACUCUGAAUUACAGUGUCGUCUGAGUACUAUAUAAUAGUUAAAACUUUCAACAACGGAUCUCUUGGUUCUGGCAUCGAUGAAGAACGCGGCGAAAUGCGAUAAGUAAUGUGAAUUGCAGAAUUCAGUGAAUCAUCGAAUCUUUGAACGCACAUUGCGCCCCCUGGUAUUCCGGGGGGCAUGCCUGUUCGAGCGUCAUUAUAACCCUCAAGCCCAGCUUGGUGUUGGGGCCUGUCGUCAGACAGCCCUUAAAAUCAGUGGCGGUGCCUGCAGGCUCUACGCGUAGUAAUUCUUCUCGCGAUGGAGCCCUGUAGGAUGCUUGCCAUCAACCCCCAAUUUUCUAUGGUUGACCUCGGAUCAGGUAGGGAUACCCGCUGAACUUAAGCAUAUCAAUAAGCGGAGGAAAAGAAACCAACAGGGAUUACCUCAGUAACGGCGAGUGAAGCGGUAACAGCUCAAAUUUGAAAUCUGGCUCUUUUAGGGUCCGAGUUGUAAUUUGUAGAAGAUGCUUCGGGUGUGGCUCCAGUCUAAGUUCCUUGGAACAGGACGUCAUAGAGGGUGAGAAUCCCGUAUGUGAUUGGUGGCCUUCGCCCAUGUGAAGCUCUUUCGACGAGUCGAGUUGUUUGGGAAUGCAGCUCAAAAUGGGUGGUAAAUUUCAUCUAAAGCUAAAUAUUGGCCAGAGACCGAUAGCGCACAAGUAGAGUGGUCGAAAGAUGAAAAGCACUUUGGAAAGAGAGUUAAACAGUACGUGAAAUUGUUGAAAGGGAAGCGCUUGCAACCAGACUUGCGCGUGGGUGAUCAUCCGGGGUUCUCCCCGGUGCACUCGCUCACGCUCAGGCCAGCAUCGGUUUUGGUGGUUGGAUAAAGGCCCUAGGAAUGUAGCUUCUCUCGGGGAGUGUUAUAGCCUAGGGUGCAAUGCAGCCUACCGGGACCGAGGACCGCGCUUCGGCUAGGAUGCUGGCGUAAUGGUUGUAAGCGACC